rnacentral:rRNA from 1 species
UCAAUGGGCGCAAGCCUGAUCCAGCCUGCCGCGUGAGUGAUGAAGGCCCUNGGGUUGUAAAGCUCUUUCACCGGUGAAGAUAAUGACGGUAACCGGAGAAGAAGCCCCGGCUAACUNCGUGCCANCAGCCGCGGUAAUACUAAGGGGGCUAGCGUUGUUCGGAUUUACUGGGCGUAAAGCGCACGUAGGCNGACUUUUAAGUCANGGGUGAAAUCCCGGNNCUCAACCCCGGAACUGCCUUUGAUACUGNAAGUCUUGAGUAUGGUAGAGGUNAGUGGAAUUCCAAGUGUAGAGGUGAAAUUCNUAUAUAUUNGGAGGAACACCANUGGCGAANGCGGCUCACUGNACCANUACUGACGCUGAGGUGCUAAAGCGUGNGGAGCAAACANGAUUANAUACCCUGGUAGUCCACGCCNUAAACNAUGAAUGUUANCCGUUGGGGAGUUUACUCUUCNGUGGCGCAGCUAACGCAUUAAACAUUCCGCCUGGNGAGUACGGUCGCAAGNUUAAAACUCAAAUGAAUUUGACGGGAUUAAAACUC